CUUCUCUGCCCUCCAUCGCCAAGCCCUACACCUCUGCGAAGACUGUGACACAUAAAGUCCUGUGUCAACGAUCUGUGCCCGCAGAGAGAGCCUGCUCCAGCCUCUUUGCUACAGCCUUGAGUCUUCUGCUGAAGCUGUGGAGACUACCAAAUGGACUCGUCUAGAUUUCACAUGCAACGUGGCUCUGCCUUCCCUGAGCACUCUGGGCCUUUCCAUGGAGACAGAAUGAAUAGAUAAUGGGCUGUCACCAUCUUGCACUGCCAGCUGUCC
rnacentral:lncRNA from 1 species